GUCGAACGCGUCUCCGUUAAUGAUUUUAGGUGCUUGCACUUGAAAGAUUUAACAUUGAGACGAGUGGCGAACUGGUGAGUAACACGUGGGUAACCUGCCCUUGAAGUAGGGGAUAACACUUGGAAACAGGUGCUAAUACCGUAUAACAACCAAAACCACCUGGUUUUGGUUUAAAAGACGGCUUCGGCUGUCACUUUAGGAUGGACCCGCGGCGUAUUAGCUUGUUGGUAAGGUAACGGCCUACCAAGGCGAUGAUACGUAGCCGACCUGAGAGGGUAAUCGGCCACAUUGGGACUGAGACACGGCCCAAACUCCUACGGGAGGCAGCAGUAGGGAAUCUUCCACAAUGGACGAAAGUCUGAUGGAGCAACGCCGCGUGAGUGAUGAAGGGUUUCGGCUCGUAAAACUCUGUUGUUGGAGAAGAACAGGUGUCAGAGUAACUGUUGACAUCUUGACGGUAUCCAACCAGAAAGCCACGGCUAACUACGUGCCAGCAGCCGCGGUAAUACGUAGGUGGCAAGCGUUGUCCGGAUUUAUUGGGCGUAAAGCGAGCGCAGGCGGUUUUUUAGGUCUGAUGUGAAAGCCUUCGGCUUAACCGGAGAAGUGCAUCGGAAACCGGGAGACUUGAGUGCAGAAGAGGACAGUGGAACUCCAUGUGUAGCGGUGAAAUGCGUAGAUAUAUGGAAGAACACCAGUGGCGAAGGCGGCUGUCUGGUCUGUAACUGACGCUGAGGCUCGA
rnacentral:rRNA from 1 species